UCUUUGAAUAGCCAACAUGGCUGACUGCAGACGAAUCGUGUUGAUGUAAACAUCGUCAUCACACUUCAAAAUGAAUGGAACUCGGUCACAGAAAUGCUUAGCCCAAUGCAACAAGGCCACUGAUUUCACCGUCAAAAUAUCUCAGGAAAACAUGUCUGCCCCCAUUCAAACGACUGGCCCACGAUUGACGGACGAGCUGUCGCUUUUCGAAAUGGUUGGGAGCCGACACAACUAUCACGACGACCAUCAAACCAUCGUUAGUCUUCUGGCAUUGAGCGUUGAUUGAGUAACGGAAGGAUGUCACGUCGUUAACGAUAGGCUUGCCAUUGUUAGUUGAAGAUUUGAAACGUAAACGUUUCAACGUGUAGUUGGUGUAAACGUCGACACCGUCCGGAAAGAGAUCGAGUUUCAUUGGAUGUUCGGCAGCGUUCGUAUUACAAGAUGAGGCAUGUCCACGUCCUUUAUACUCCCGAUGUUCCGGAGAAAUUGUAACCUGAGGCUGUUCAUAUCUUAAUCAAACCUAGUUGAAGAUGCUUGCCUAUGCCAUCAUAUGCAUAAAUUAUAGAUAGGUUACUAC